GUGACAGAGCAGGGGGAGACGUCCGCCGCGAAGGCCGGCCUGCCCAAGAUGGUGUUGCCAGAGGAGCUCCUCCCCGAUCCCGUCUUUCCCAGAAGAGCGAGCCGCAGCUCGGCCUCCGACGUGGACCGUGAUGCAUCGCGAGCUGCAGCAAAAACACGGAUCGGGGCAUGGCGGCGGGUCUCCGCCCAUGACCAACCCAAGAGGCACCGCUCCCACCCACUGCUUGGACCGAACGCACUGCAGACAGUCCAUAAUCCAUCGGGCAUCUCGCCACACCGCAUCCAGACGCUGAUUGAGAAAUGCAAGAAAUGGUCGGUGACGUGGUUGAGACGCUCACGUGCCACUUGCACUUCUCUGGUGUCCAGCGCCUCCCGCAGAGCCUGCUGAGCCAGCUCAAAGAUCUGCAGGGGCAUGGUCAGGCCGCCCUCUUUGGUUCCCAACAGUGGCCAGUAGCUGGAGCUAAAGUCUUCACUUGGAGGGAGAAGCAGCAGCAUGGACACUUUGUCUC